UCAAGUGGGGAGAAAGGGAUCUAAAGAGAUUAGUUUAAUUACUUGGAGAACCUGGAAUUUAAGAGUAAACAUUCAGACUACAUGGUAGAUUUUUAAGUUGUCAGUCAUUUGCUUCUUUAAUACUUGGGUUGGAACAGAAGAAUAUAUUAAUUAUAAUGCUAGAAAUCAGAAAAAAAAUACACAUCAGAAAGCAUUCUCCUAAUGGACUAUAUAUAACACUUGAGAUUGCCUCUGUGUAUGAUAUUUUAUGCAGUUCUGUCAUCUCACAAGUACUGAAUCAUAUAAGAAUUCAAAUGGGAAAUCGCAUUUAUCAAGGAAUUGGAACUUUUUUGCUAUGAAAAUAUUCUGGAAAAGUUAAAAAUCUUCAGACAGGAAAGGAAGAUGAUUUAAUAUGGGAGAGAUACAGGAAGAUAAAAAUUUAUAAAAGGUGUUAAUGGAGAAAGGAUUUAAGGGAUCAGUAUCACUUCAUGGAUGCACAGUAAGAAAAUGGGCAGGUAUUCGAGAUGUAUCUUUAUAUGUUAUGGCUUGAUCUUACAUCAACCAUAAAGGUACCUCUGCUAAAAUCUUUUUAGAACGUGCUACUUUGAGUAACUAGAAUUAAUAGAAAUUGCAUUUCAUAAAUGAAGAUAAUUGAAACUUAAAAUUAUCAACUAACUUCAAUUUUCUUUCAGUGGAUUUUAAUGGAAAUCUUCUCUAAAGAAAAUUUCAAUAUGUAUGUCUGUUUUUUCCUUUGUGAA